UACGUAGGGUCCGAGCGUUGUCCGGAAUUAUUGGGCGUAAAGAGCUCGUAGGCGGUCUGUCACGUCGGCUGUGAAAACACGGGGCUCAACUCCGUGCCUGCAGUCGAUACGGGCAGACUAGAGUUCGGUAGGGGAGACUGGAAUUCCUGGUGUAGCGGUGAAAUGCGCAGAUAUCAGGAGGAACACCGGUGGCGAAGGCGGGUCUCUGGGCCGUAACUGACGCUGAGGAGCGAAAGCAUGGGGAGCGAACAGG
rnacentral:rRNA from 1 species